AUGAACGCUGGCGGCGUGCCUCAUACAUGCCAGUCGAGCGAACAGAUAAGGAGCUUGCUCCUUUGACGUUAGCGGCGGACGGGUGAGUAACACGUGGAUAACCUACCUAUAAGACUGGGAUAACUUCGGGAAACCGGAGCUAAUACCGGAUAACAUAUUGAACCGCAUGGUUCCAUAGUGAAAGGCGGCUUUGCUGUCACUUAUAGAUGGAUCCGCGCCGUAUUAGCUAGUUGGUAAGGUAACGGCUUACCAAGGCAACGAUACGUAGCCGACCUGAGAGGGUGAUCGGCCACACUGGAACUGAGACACGGUCCAGACUCCUACGGGAGGCAGCAGUAGGGAAUCUUCCGCAAUGGGCGAAAGCCUGACGGAGCAACGCCGCGUGAGUGAUGAAGGUCUUCGGAUCGUAAAACUCUGUUAUCAGGGAAGAACAAAUGUGUAAGUAACUGUGCACAUCUUGACGGUACCUGAUCAGAAAGCCACGGCUAACUACGUG
rnacentral:rRNA from 1 species